rnacentral:rRNA from 1 species
AACGAACGCUGGCGGCAUGCCUAACACAUGCAAGUCGAACGAAGGCUUCGGCCUUAGUGGCGCACGGGUGCGUAACGCGUGGGAAUCUGCCCUUGGGUACGGAAUAACAGUGAGAAAUUACUGCUAAUACCGUAUGAUGACGUAAGUCCAAAGAUUUAUCGCCCAGGGAUGAGCCCGCGUAGGAUUAGCUAGUUGGUGGGGUAAAGGCCUACCGAGGCGACGAUCCUUAGCUGGUCUGAGAGGAUGAUCAGCCACACUGGGACUGAGACACGGCGCAGACUCCUACGGGAGGCAGCAGUGGGGAAUAUUGGACAAUGGGCGAAAGCCUGGUCCAGCACUGUCGCGUGAGUGAUGAAGGCCUUAGGGUUGUAAAGCUCUUUUACCGGGGAAGAUAAUGACUGUACCGGGAGAGUAAGCCCCGGCUAACUCCGUGCCAGCCGCCGCGGUAA